rnacentral:lncRNA from 1 species
CUGAAACAAAAGAUCCAUUGCGUGUCCAACCACAUUUAAAGAAAUGUUUCGAAGGUAUUAAUCGUCUAGAAUUUAAUGAUCAACAAGAAAUUACGGCAAUGAUUUCUGUUGAAAAAGAAGUCGUACACUUCAAAGGUACAGUUAAUCCAAGUAAGGCGCGUGGUAUGGUAGAAAAAUGGU